GGAGGUGCGCCCCACGCAACCGCUGGAUGAGGGCUGGCUGCCCGGUGUUCUGAGAGUGGCCUAAGAAGAUGUCCAGCGGCCAUGCUCGGGACAGCUCCAUCUGCUUACUACUCACAAAAACAGAUCCCAUAUCAUUUCAGCAUGGAAUCAAGAUAAAAAAUGUCAAUGAGGUUCAAAGCUACCAGAACAUUCUGGGACACACAGGACGACGUGACCAAGGCUGGGACGAAGGGAUCACAAUGAGUCCCUGAGAAAAAACUCACCGAGACACAAAAAGGUCUUUGUUCACGUGGUUAAAAAUCCAGAGGCCGCCUUCUGUAGGACCCUAUUUCCUGGCCUGCAAAAUGAGGAUAAAUGUAAUAUCUCCCUCACAGUGUUUUACUGAGGAUUAAACAUGACUUGGGUAUGUGAACACUAAAGAGCUGAAGGGAUGUAGUUUAUUUGAGGUGGGAUGUAUGCCUGAAGGAGAGAAAGGAUUAAGGAGAGGUGGUCCUGUGAUGGUUUCCAUUUUUUCCCCAGCCCGUGGCCAAAUCCUGUCCUUGGCCAAAGCCUGUCCCUGGAGGCUUUUCCUUUGAUGACGGAUGAUGGCACGCAGUUACCUGGAUGCCAAGGGCUGACCUGGGCCUUCAGGAGCACGGCCUGUGUGAGAGUCCUGCCCCACCUCUUAG